rnacentral:rRNA from 1 species
AUCGCAUGGUAGAUAUAUCAAAGAUUUAUCGCUCAGAGAUGGACUCGCGUCCGAUUAGUUAGUUGGUGAGGUAACGGCUCACCAAGACCACGAUCGGUAGCCGGACUGAGAGGUUGAACGGCCACAUUGGGACUGAGACAGGCUCACCAAGACCACGAUCGGUAGCCGGACUGAGAGGUUGAACGGCCACAUUGGGACUGAGACACGGCCCAGACUCCUACGGGAGGCAGCAGUGGGGAAUAUUGCACAAUGGGGGAAACCCUGAUGCAGCGACGCCGCGUGGAGGAAGAAGGUCUUCGGAUUGUAAACUCCUGUUGUUGAGGAAGAUAAUGACGGUACUCAACAAGGAAGUGACGGCUAACUACGUGCCAGCAGCCGCGGUAAAACGUAGGUCACAAGCGUUGUCCGGAAUUACUGGGUGUAAAGGGAGCGCAGGCGGGAAGACAAGUUGGAAGUGAAAUCCAUGGGCUCAACCCAUGAACUGCUUUCAAAACUGUUUUUCUUGAGUAGUGCAGAGGUAGGCGGAAUUCCCGGUGUAGCGGUGGAAUGCGUAGAUAUCGGGAGGAACACCAGUGGCGAAGGCGGCCUACUGGGCACCAACUGACGCUGAGGCUCGAAAGUGUG